rnacentral:lncRNA from 1 species
GUGCCUUUUGGUACUACUGGAAGUUCUUCUUAAAAGGGAGGAGAUGAGAUUUUUUUUUCCACUUCCUCCACCCCACUGCCUAGAUUAUGUUGCAAUGUUGCAGUUGUAAUGGGAAGAUACUAGCAGAAGUAGGAGAAAAGGCCUGUGGAAUAUGUCCAUAUUUGCAUUUGAGAAACAACACUGGCUGCUCUCUGAAGAGACUAUGCGGAGCAGAAACAAAGCAAGGAGGAUGUGUAUGAUAUGUGCACUUCUGUUGCCAACCAACACCACAGCUGCAGAACUACUGAAGUCUUUGAGUAAUUACGUAUCAGGAAACUGAGUUGGUCAUAUGGUAUUGAUAUAUGCACAGAUGGAGUGGCUGCCAUGACUGGAUGGCUUUCUGGUUUCGCUACUUGGGUCAAAGAGGUCACUUCUUAAUCUGGUGCAUGAUCACCUAUCUCAGCUUUCAAGAGAGUCUGAACAUUAUUUCCCAACCACAAAAGACCCACCUCCACAACUGGGAAGGAAUGGAUCUGCAACCCAUUUGUGAAUAAGCCAGGUGAAUUGACUUUGUCUGUGCUGGAAGAGGAUCAACUGCUUGAAAUCGCAAAUCGAGGUGGCCUUAAAAGUAUGUUUGAGACAACUUCAAGUCUUUACACAUUCUGGAUUAAAGUCAAGGCAAAAUAUACUGAGAUUGCCACGAAAGCACUGAAAAACCUGCUUCUAUUUCCAACAUCCUAUCUUUGUGAAGCAGGGUUUUCUGCAGUGACAGCAACCAAAAUAAGAUUACAGAGUAGACUGGACAUAAGCAACACACUUGGGGUGUCACUGUCUCCCAUCACCCCCAUUUGGGACAAUCUAGUUGCAGGGAAAAAAAUUCCAGGGUUCCCACUGAUUCUAUGUUACGGUGAGUUGUGUAACUAUUUUAUUAUGUAUUACCAUGUGAUAAUAAUAGAAAUAAAAUGCACAAUACAUGUAAUGUGCUUGAAUAUUCCUGAACCCACCACCCCCAAACCCAGCCGUUGGAAAAAUUGUCUUCCAUGAAAUCAGUACUUGGUGCCAAAAAGGUUAGGGACCGCCGCAUUACAGAAUGUCAUAAUUGCUGCCUUUUAUGACGAAAAUGCUGUGUCUCAGUAGCUAAGACAGGCACAUUGAUCAACAACUACAAAAUCUAAGUGUAUUUAAUAUUAAGGUCUUUUAGAUAACUUAAUAGGCUUUUGAAACAACAGAGAAGCCCUCACUUUGCAGAUGUGUAAGUAACUUUUCCAUAAAGUUAAAUGAAACCAUUAAAAUAUUUUCAAUUAUUGGUAAUACAUCCAAAUAGUAUGAAUGGGGAAAAUAGGAUUAGUGUUAUCUGAUUGCCACUAGGGGGAGGAAAAAUCAGCAAAUGAGCAGCAAAUAUGAACUGGAAGAAAAUGCUCCAAAAAGUUGGCGUGGCAUAUGUAUUUUGGUUAACAUUUGUGAAGUAUAAGUAGUGCAUUACACAAUUAAAGAAACAUUUUUUAUUUUUUUACUUUUCUAUAUAUUCUACAUUAAAAAUAUGUUCUAAUUAUACACACACAUUUAAAAGAAAAAAGUCAAAAGACAUAUAAAUAUCAUGGGAACAUGGAACUUUAGAAUGAGUCAGGACAAGUCUUAGAUAACUUUGCUCAGCCUCUCUCCUUCGUGUGACAUCCCUAGUAGAACAAGGUACACCUACCUCUACUUGGAAACUUCUGGUGAUGGGGAUCUUGUUUUUUUUUUUUUUUUUUUUUUCAGUCUAACUCACUCUAGUAUUGAUCAUCACUGAGUCAGAAACUUCUCCCCAAAAUGGACUACAACAUGGCUACAUUUUAUAUUCACUUGUGGCACAGUGUUAC